GUGUCAGAAGGUUGGUCGUGCCACCGGUACGUACUGGUCUCACUGAUUCCUCCUUCCUGAAGAACCGUGAUGCCAUUAAUUUGGUGUUGCGGGGAAACAGGACUGUUACUUUGAAAAAAUUAGAGUGUUUAAAGCAAGCUAACGCUUGAAUACAUUAGCAUGGAAUAAUGAAUUAGGACGAUCGAUCCUAUUUUGUUGGUUUCUAGGAUUGACGUA
rnacentral:rRNA from 1 species